GCUCUGAUGUGGCCUGUAAAUAUUUCCCCUAUUUAACCAAGGUGGCUCAGCAGUGCCCUGAGCUGAGGAACCUCUUGUCAAUGCGUCCUUUUCUCUCCGUCAUGCAUGCAAAGGCUCACACUUGGAAAUGCGAGAUCAAAUGGGGAGGUGCGUUUCAGGAUGGGGCCGGUUCAACAGUUGGAGAAGAGGUGGAACAAGUAAACAGUUUCCUGUCUAGGGCGGCCAUCACAACGAAGUACAUGUCUAAAGCAGGGCGAACAGACAUGCUGACCCUCCUGGCUUUGGGGUGGAACAAAAGGA